CGGGGUGAGUAACGCGUGGGCAACCUGGCCUGUACAGGGGGAUAACACUUAGAAAUAGGUGCUAAUACCGCAUAAGCGCACAGCUUCGCAUGAAGUGGUGUGAAAAACUCUGGUGGUAUACGAUGGUUCCGCGUCUGAUUAGCUUGUUGGUGGGGUAAUGGCUCACCAAGGCGACGAUCAGUAGCCGGCCUGAGAGGGUGAACGGCCACAUUGGGACUGAGACACGGCCCAAACUCCUACGGGAGGCAGCAG
rnacentral:rRNA from 1 species